CGCCACAGCCAUAUCACCCUGCAGCCCAACACCAUGGUUGUCCACUGAAGCUAAGCAGGGUUGAGCCUUGUCAGUACCUGGAUGGGAGACCUCCUGGGAAAACUAGGUUGCUGUUGGAA
rnacentral:rRNA from 1 species